AUCUAUCACUUCUUUUAUCUAGGAGGUAUGUUUUUCAACCUGAUUUGAGUAUCUCUGUUUUGGUAGGGUGUUUUCAUAAAUCCAGCCUUCAUUGAGCCAUUUGGACUUACUUUAAUUGAGGUUAUUACUCUUGAGGAUGUAAUAAAGGGAAUUAAGAUCAUGAGGGAGACUUUGAUAUAUUUGUCACAUCUUGAUCACGAGGACACGGAAAAGCUGGUAUGGGUUUAUGGAAAAUAAAGUAGUAAAUGUAUUGAAAUAUUUUUCAUGUUUUCUAUUUGUACCAAAGUUAGUACAAGCUUGUGUUAGCUAUAGUUUUUAUUU